rnacentral:rRNA from 1 species
AUUGCUCUAGUAACGGCGAGUGAAGCAGCAAUAGCUCAAAUUUGAAAUCUGGCGUCUUCGACGUCCGAGUUGUAAUUUGUAGAGGAUGCUUCUGAGUAACCACCGACCUAAGUUCCUUGGAACAGGACGUCAUAGAGGGUGAGAAUCCCGUAUGCGGUCGGAAAGGUGCUCUAUACGUAGCUCCUUCGACGAGUCGAGUUGUUUGGGAAUGCAGCUCUAAAUGGGAGGUAAAUUUCUUCUAAAGCUAAAUAUUGGCCAGAGACCGAUAGCGCACAAGUAGAGUGAUCGAAAGAUGAAAAGCACUUUGGAAAGAGAGUUAAAAAGCACGUGAAAUUGUUAAAAGGGAAGGGAUUGCAACCAGACUUGCUCGCGGUGUUCCGCCGGUCUUCUGACCGGUCUACUCGCCGCGUUGCAGGCCAGCAUCGUCUGGUGCCGCUGGAUAAGACUUGAGGAAUGUAGCUCCCUCGGGAGUGUUAUAGCCUCUUGUGAUGCAGCGAGCGCCGGGCGAGGUCCGCGCUUCGGCUAGGAUGCUGGCGUAAUGGUCGUAAUCCGCCCGUCUUGAAACACGGACCAAGGAGUCUAACAUCUAUGCGAGUGUUCGGGUGUCAAACCCCUACGCGUAAUGAAAGUGAACGGAGGUGAGAACCGCAAGGUGCAUCAUCGACCGAUCCUGAUGUCUUCGGAUGGAUUUGAGUAAGAGCAUAGCUGUUGGGACCCGAAAGAUGGUGAACUAUGCCUGAAUAGGGUGAAGCCAGAGGAAACUCUGGUGGAGGCUCGCAGCGGUUCUGACGUGCAAAUCGAUCGUCAAAUUUGGGUAUAGGGGCGAAAGACUAAUCGAACCAUCUAGUAGCUGGUUCCUGCCGA